rnacentral:rRNA from 1 species
UGGGGAAUAUUGCACAAUGGGCGAAAGCCUGAUGCAGCAACGCCGCGUGAGUGAUGAAGGUCUUCGGAUUGUAAAGCUCUGUCUUUUGGGACGAUAAUGACGGUACCAAAGGAGGAAGCCACGGCUAACUACGUGCCAGCAGCCGCGGUAAUACGUAGGUGGCGAGCGUUGUCCGGAUUUACUGGGCGUAAAGGGUGCGUAGGCGGAUGUUUAAGUGAGAUGUGAAAUACCCGGGCUUAACUUGGGUGCUGCAUUUCAAACUGGAUAUCUAGAGUGCAGGAGAGGAGAAUGGAAUUCCUAGUGUAGNCGGAUGAAAUGCGUAGAGAUUAGGAAGAACACCAGUGGC